GUGAAGUUGGAUUCGCUAGUAAUCGCGCAUCAGCCAUGGCGCGGUGAAUACGUUCCCGGGCCUUGUACACACCGCCCGUCAAGCCAUGGGAGCUGGGGGUGCCUAAAGGUCGUAACCGCGAGGAGCGGUCUAGGGCAAAACCGGUGACUAGGGCUAAGUCGUAACAAGGUAGCCGUACCGGAAGGUGUGGCUGGAACACCUCCUUU
rnacentral:rRNA from 1 species